AAGUCGUAACAAGGUUUCCGUAGGUGAACCUGCGGAAGGAUCAUUACAUAAUCACGUAAUAAUGUGGGCGGCUGCGCAAGCGGUACCCGCAUUUAUUAUUAAACACUUGUGAACCCGUUAUUUGAUGCCGAUUGGCGUAGCCUAAGGUUGAGCACACUUUUGUGUGUGAGGCUGUUACGUCAAGACGUGUUAUCUAACACCAUAUAAACCAUUUGCACAACUAUUCAGACUUAAUCUAAGAUUUUCUAAUUUGAAAUACAACUUUUAACAAUGGAUCUCUUGGCUCUU
rnacentral:misc_RNA from 1 species